rnacentral:tRNA from 1 species
GCAGGUAUAGCUCAGUGGUAGAGUGCAAGCUUAGCAUGCAUGAGGUCCUGGGUUCAGUCCCCAGUAUCUCCA